CAAGAAACCAUCAUACUAAAUGUCCACCUGAAAGACAAUUUGUGCUUUGGAAAUAAUAUCUAAUAAAAAUAAUUAUUAACAGUAAACAAUAAGUAGUACUAUUAA